GUGGGGAAUAUUGGACAAUGGGGGCAACCCUGAUCCAGCAAUGCCGCGUGGAUGAUGAAGGCCUUCGGGUUGUAAAGUCCUUUCGGCGGGGAAGAUGAUGACGGUACCCGCAGAAGAAGCCCCGGCUAACUUCGUGCCAGCAGCCGCGGUAAUACGAAGGGGGCUAGCGUUGUUCGGAAUUACUGGGCGUAAAGGGCGCGUAGGCUGUGCUGUAAGUCAGGCGUGAAAGCCCCGGGCUCAACCUGGGAAUUGCGCUUGAUACUGCGGCGCUGGAAGGUGGGAGAGGAUGGCGGAAUUCCCAGUGUAGAGGUGAAAUUCGUAGAUAUUGGGAAGAACACCGGUGGCGAAGGCGGCCAUCUGGCCCACAUUUGACGCUGAGGCGCGAAAGCGUGGGGAGCAAACAGGAUUAGAAACCCGGGUAGUCC
rnacentral:rRNA from 1 species